AUUGAACGCUGGCGGCGUGCCUAACCCAUGCCAGUCGAGCGGUACCAGGUGUAGCAAUACAUGCUGACGAGCGGCGAACGGGUGAGUAAUGCUUCGGAAUCUACCUUAUGGUGGGGAAUAACUAGCCGAAAGGUUAGCUAAUACCGCAUACGUCCUACGGGAGAAAGCAGGGGAUCGUAAGACCUUGCGCCAAAAGAUGAGCCGAAGUCGGAUUAGCUAGUUGGUAGGGUAACGGCCUACCAAGGCGACGAUCCGUAGCUGGUCUGAGAGGACGACCAGCCACACUGGGACUGAGACACGGCCCAGACUCCUACGGGAGGCAGCAGUGGGGAAUAUUGGACAAUGGGGGAAACCCUGAUCCAGCGACGCCGCGUGUGUGAAGAAGGCCUGCGGGUUGUAAAGCACUUUUAGUGGGGAUGAAAUGUGCAGGGUUAAUACCUCUGCA
rnacentral:rRNA from 1 species